rnacentral:rRNA from 1 species
AUUGAACGCUGGCGGCAUGCCUUACACAUGCAAGUCGAACGGCAGCACGGGAGCAAUCCUGGUGGCGAGUGGCGAACGGGUGAGUAAUAUAUCGGAACGUGCCCAGUCGUGGGGGAUAACGCAGCGAAAGUUGUGCUAAUACCGCAUACGAUCUAUGGAUGAAAGCGGGGGAUCGCAAGACCUCGCGCGAUUGGAGCGGCCGAUAUCAGAUUAGGUUGUUGGUGAGGUAAAAGCUCACCAAGCCUGCGAUCUGUAGCUGGUCUGAGAGGACGACCAGCCACACUGGAACUGAGACACGGUCCAGACUCCUACGGGAGGCAGCAGUGGGGAAUUUUGGACAAUGGACGAAAGUCUGAUCCAGCAAUGCCGCGUGCAGGACGAAGGCCUUCGGGUUGUAAACUGCUUUGUACAGAACGAAAAGUACUUUAAUAACACUAGAGGCUCAUGACGGUACUGUAAGAAUAAGCACCGGCUAACUACGUG